rnacentral:rRNA from 1 species
GUUGCGGUUAAAAAGCUCGUAGUUGGAUUUCUGUCGAGGACGUCCGGUCCAUCUUUCGGGUGAGUAUCUGGUACGGCCUUGGCAUCCUCUUGGAGAGCUACGCUGCACUUGACUGUGUGGUUAGGGAUUCAAGACUUUUACUUUGAGGAAAUUAGAGUGUUCGCGGCAGGCAAACGUCUGAAUACAUUAGCAUGGAAUAAUAAUAUAGGACCUUGGUUCUAUUUUGUUGGUUUCUAGGACUAAGGUAAUGAUUAAUAGGGAUAAUUGGGGGCAUUCGUAUUGACGCGUCAGAGGUGGAAUUCUUGGAUUGCGUUACGACGAACUACUGCGAAAGCAUUUGCCAAGGAUGUUUUCAUUGACCAAGAACGAAAGUUAGGGGAUCGAAGACGCUUAGAUACCGUCGUAGUCUUAACCAUAAACUAUGCCAACUAGAGAUUGGAGGGCGUUCUCUUUGUGACUCCUUCAGCACCUUAUGAGAAAUCAAAGUCUUUGGGUUCCGGGGGGAGUAUGGUCGCAAGGCUGAAACUUAAAGGAGUUGACGGAAGGGCACCACCAGGAGUGGAGCCUGCGGCUUAAAUUUGACUC